rnacentral:rRNA from 1 species
GUGCCAGCCGCGGCGGUAAUACGGAGGGUGCAAGCGUUAAUCGGAAUUACUGGGCGUAAAGCGCACGCAGGCGGUCUGUCAAGUCGGAUGUGAAAUCCCCGGGCUCAACCUGGGAACUGCAUUCGAAACUGGCAGGCUGGAGUCUUGUAGAGGGGGGUAGAAUUCCAGGUGUAGCGGUGAAAUGCGUAGAGAUCUGGAGGAAUACCGGUGGCGAAGGCGGCCCCCUGGACAAAGACUGACACUCAGGUGCGAAAGCGUGGGGAGCAAACAGGAUUAGAUACCCUGGUAGUCCACGCCGUAAACGAUGUCGAUUUGGAGGUUGUGCCCUUGAGGCGUGGCUUCCGGAGCUAACGCGUUAAAUCGACCGCCUGGGGAGUACGGCCGCAAGGUUAAACUCAAAUGAAUUGACGGGGGCCCGCACAAGCGGUGGAGCAUGUGGUUUAAUUCGAUGCAACGCGAAGACCUUACCUGGUCUUGACAUCCACAGAACUUUCCAGAGAUGGAUUGGUGCCUUCGGGAACUGU